rnacentral:rRNA from 1 species
AUUGAACGCUGGCGGCAUGCCUUACACAUGCAAGUCGAACGGCAUCGCGGGAAAGCUUGCUUUCCUGGCGGCGCGUGGCGCACGGGUGAGUAACACAUCGGAACGUCCCGGCUAGCGGGGGAUACCCCGUCGAAAGACGGGCUAAUACCGCAUACGCUCUUCGGAGGAAAGCAGGGGACCUUUAGGCCUUGCGCCAGCCGAGCGGCCGUUGUCCGAUUAGCUAGUUGGUGGGGUAAAGGCCUACCAAGGCGACGAUCGGUAGCGGGUCUGAGAGGACGAUCCGCCACACUGGGACUGAGACACGGCCCAGACUCCUACGGGAGGCAGCAGUGGGGAAUCUUGGACAAUGGGGGCAAGCCUGAUCCAGCAAUGCCGCGUGGGUGAAGAAGGCCUUCGGGUUGUAAAGCCCUUUCGGCAGGGAAGAAAUCGGCGGGGCGAAUAACCCUGCUGGAUGACGGUACCUGCAGAAGAAGCACCGGCUAACUACGUG